ensembl:Y_RNA Y_RNA Y RNA
AGCUGGUCUGAGUGGUGUGUUAUCUCAAUGACAGUUCACGGUUGGUUACAUCCCCUUUCUCACUGCUGCACUUGACUAGUCUUAC